rnacentral:rRNA from 1 species
AGCAGCCGCGGUAAUUCCAGCUCCAAUAGCGUAUAUUAAAGUUGCUGCAGUUAAAAAGCUCGUAGUUGAAUUUCGGGACCGAUAUAUCGGUCGUGCCUCGGUACGUACUGGUAUUUUCGGUUUCUACCUUCUGACGAACCUUGAUGUCAUUAAUUUGGUGUCUUGGGGAAUCAGGACUGUUACUUUGAAAAAAUUAGAGUGUUUAAAGCAGGCUCACGCUUGAAUACAUUAGCAUGGAAUAAUGAAAUAGGACGUUUGAUUCUAUUUUGUUGGUUUCUAGGAUCGACGUAAUGAUUAAUAGGGAUAGUUGGGGGCAUUAGUAUUCAAUUGUCAGAGGUGAAAUUCUUGGAUUUAUUGAAGACUAACUACUGCGAAAGCAUUUGCCAAGGAUGUUUUCAUUAAUCAAGAACGAAAGUUAGGGGAUCGAAGACGAUCAGAUACCGUCGUAGU